rnacentral:rRNA from 1 species
UACGUAGGUGACAAGCGUUGUCCGGAAUUAUUGGGCGUAAAGAGCGUGUAGGCGGCUCGAUUAGUCUGCUGUGAAAGUCCAGGGCUCAACCCUGGAAUGCCGGUGGAUACUGUCGAGCUAGAGUCCGGAAGGGGCGAGUGGAAUUCCUGGUGUAGCAGUGAAAUGCGUAGAUAUCAGGAGGAAUACCGAUGGCGAAGGCAGGUCUCUGGGCUGACACUGACGCUCAUGCACGAAAGCGUGGGGAGCAAACAGG